AUUGAACGCUGGCGGCAGGCCUAACACAUGCAAGUCGAACGGUAGCACAGAGAGCUUGCUCUCGGGUGACGAGUGGCGGACGGGUGAGUAAUGUCUGGGAAACUGCCCGAUGGAGGGGGAUAACUACUGGAAACGGUAGCUAAUACCGCAUAACGUCGCAAGACCAAAGUGGGGGACCUUCGGGCCUCACACCAUCGGAUGUGCCCAGAUGGGAUUAGCUAGUCGGUGGGGUAAUGGCUCACCUAGGCGACGAUCCCUAGCUGGUCUGAGAGGAUGACCAGCCACACUGGAACUGGGACACGGUCCAGACUCCUACGGGAGGCAGCAGUGGGGAAUAUUGCACAAUGGGCGCAAGCCUGAUGCAGCCAUGCCGCGUGUAUGAAGAAGGCCUUCGGGUUGUAAAGUACUUUCAGCGGGGAGGAAGGCGGUGAAGUUAAUAGCUUCACCGAUUGACGUUACCCGCAGAAGAAGCACCGGCUAACUCCGUGCCAGCCGCCGCCGUAA
rnacentral:rRNA from 1 species